rnacentral:rRNA from 1 species
CGGCGGACGGGUGAGUAACGCGUGGGUAACCUACCCUGUACACACGGAUAACAUACCGAAAGGUAUGCUAAUACGGGAUAAUAUAUUUGAGAGGCAUCUCUUAAAUAUCAAAGGUGAGCCAGUACAGGAUGGACCCGCGUCUGAUUAGCUAGUUGGCAAGGUAACGGCUUACCAAGGCGACGAUCAGUAGCCGACCUGAGAGGGUGAUCGGCCACAUUGGAACUGAGACACGGUCCAA